CAGGAUUAAGACUUAAGAAAGCUAUACACAUAAACUAGAGCCUCACACAUUUGGGUAUAGUCUUCAACUUCUUGGCUAAGAAGGCUAGUCACGUGCCUUAUAGAACCUCGAAAUUAACUCAUUUGUUGCAAAACUCUCUUGGUGGUAACAGUAAAAGUUUGAUGUUCGUGAAUGUUUCUCCUCGCGAGGACUCUUUCCAGGAAACCCUAUGUUCACUUCGAUUUGCCACUCAGG